rnacentral:rRNA from 1 species
CCCUUAGAUGUUCUGGGCCGCACGCGCGUUACACUGAUGCAUUCAACAAGUUCUUUCACCUUGGCUGAGAGGCCUGGGCAAUCUUUGAACGUGCAUCGUGAUAGGGAUAGAUUAUUGCAAUUAUUAAUCUUGAACGAGGAAUUCCUAGUAAACGCAGAUCAUCAAUCUGCAUUGAUUACGUCCCUGCCCUUUGUACACACCGCCCGUCGCACCUACCGAUUGAAUGGUCCGGUGAAGCCUCGGGAUUGUGGCUGGUUCCCUUUAUUGGGGAUCGGUUGCGAGAACUUGUCUAAACCUUAUCAUUUAGAGGAAGGUGAANUCGUANCA